rnacentral:rRNA from 1 species
AGAACGAACGCUGGCGGCAUGCCUAAUACAUGCAAGUCGAACGAACACUUCGGUGUUAGUGGCGCACGGGUGCGUAACGCGUGGGAAUCUGCCCUUGGGUUCGGAAUAACAGUUGGAAACGACUGCUAAUACCGGAUGAUAUCGAAAGA